CUAUUUGAUGAAUGAGCAAACAAACAAAUUAAAUACUAAGUAAAGAAACUGACAAGAUAUCAUACGGUUAACGUUUAGAUGACAGUUGAUCUUAAUUGAUGUCGCAGUCAAGUUAAGUGAGUGUCAUCAAAAUAGAGUAUAUAGAAUAGAGUCUAGGCGGUCGUAGUGAGAAGAAGAAAAUCCACUGAUCCAUAUGAGUGUCGAACUCGUCUAAUGAUGCAAUAAGUUGAAAUACAUAAUCCAUUGUGAUCAUAGUAUAAGCACUAUUGUUACUAGUUAUUGGUGAACUGAGUGGAGUUACCUGCUAUGAGGCAAAAGUGAAUAUAAAUAGGGUUAAGUUUAGUUUGAGUAAAAAGCAAAUACUUACCAUAUUCUACUCCUGCUAUAUUGUAAAACUGUUUGAUUCUCGUAUCUUAACGGCUAAUAAAUCGGCAUAUUAUGUAUUGUA